GAAUUCGCCCUUGUUUGAUCAUGGCUCAGGAUGAACGCUGGCGGCGUGCUUAACACAUGCAAGUCGAGCGAAGCGCUUACGACAGAACCUUCGGGGGAAGAUGUAAGGGACUGAGCGGCGGACGGGUGAGUAACGCGUGGGUAACCUGCCUCAUACAGGGGGAUAACAGUUGGAAACGGCUGCUAAUACCGCAUAAGCGCACGGUAUCGCAUGAUACAGUGUGAAAAACUCCGGUGGUAUGAGAUGGACCCGCGUCUGAUUAGCUAGUUGGAGGGGUAACGGCCCACCAAGGCGACGAUCAGUAGCCGGCCUGAGAGGGUGAACGGCCACAUUGGGACUGAGACACGGCCCAGACUCCUACGGGAGGCAGCAGUGGGGAAUAUUGCACAAUGGGGGAAACCCUGAUGCAGCGACGCCGCGUGAAGGAAGAAGUAUUUCGGUAUGUAAACUUCUAUCAGCAGGGAAGAAAAUGACGGUACCUGACUAAGAAGCCCCGGCUAACUACGUGCCAGCAGCCGCGGUAAUACGUAGGGGGCAAGCGUUAUCCGGAUUUACUGGGUGUAAAGGGAGCGUAGACGGAAGAGCAAGUCUGAUGUGAAAGGCUGGGGCUUAACCCCAGGACUGCAUUGGAAACUGU
rnacentral:rRNA from 1 species